GAUAACUAUUGCAUUUGUUAAACUGAUUUGCAUUACAUUAGACUGCUGAUUUAUUGUGAAUGAAUGAUAUUGUUUUAUGAUGCAUUAUACUGCUGAGUUAUAAGAAAUACUGUUUGCAGAAAGUCAUCGCCUUAUUUGUCUGAUUAGAAGAGAACAGAACAUACUGGAGUUUUCUGCCCCAUCUCAGCAGGAGCAGAUAAACAGGGAGCCAAGGUCGUAGCUUAGGCGCCGUGUGAGAGAAAGCAUGUGAAUGUUUAGGCUUUUAUGAUAAGGUGGAGGCACCAGAGGCUAUAAGAGUUUGAUCAAUGCUCCACCAUUUUGAGAUCUGAGGCUGUCUGCAUACAGUGUCCAUCUCCCACGUGUGUGAUCAUUAAAAUCAUUGUUUGACUUAA
ensembl:lncRNA